rnacentral:snRNA from 1 species
CAGCUCAUAAGCGAGUUC